rnacentral:rRNA from 1 species
UACAGAGGGUGCGAGCGUUAAUCGGAAUUACUGGGCGUAAAGCGUGCGUAGACGGUUAUUUAAGUCGGGUGUGAAAGCCCCGGGCUCAACCUGGGAAUUGCAUUCGAGACUGAAUAGCUAGGGUACGGUAGAGGGAAGCGGAAUUUCCGGUGUAGCGGUGAAAUGCGUAGAUAUCGGAAGGAACACCAGUGGCGAAAGCGGCUUCCUGGUCCAGCAUCGACGUUCAGGCACGAAAGCGUGGGGAGCAAACAGG